GUCUUGUUCCCAGGGAGUUGGGCUCCUUCCUUCUCCAGACUUUUGUAAACAUGGGCAGUGGUACAUUUAGUACAAGAGCAGCACCUUCUCUCUAGAUCAGGGGAGAAAACAAUCUCCACUCUCUUAUUGGGAAAUCAGAUGUGAGAGACUAGAAGUAACAGAUAAAGUCCAUCACGCAUCAAAUAUCUGCAGAAACUACUGUAGGUUGACAAGAUCAAGACAAAACAGAUCGAAUUCCCAGGGUGUGUUUCAGCUGUUGGGAAGCAACAUGGAGGGUCAGAUGAUCAUGAAGGCAGGAGCUGUGUUUUAUUUUCCAUGAAUUCUCUGUGCCGCCCAGUCAAUGUUUGCUGCAUUAAAUCCAGGCACACUUGGUAUAGAAAAUGCAACCUUGUGCCUAUGUUAGUUCUCAUAUUGAAUAUGUCUGGGCCUCUGCCAAUCUUUUCUGUUCUUUGCACUUCACAAAUUGGUGACAGGGCAGCAGAUAC
ensembl:lncRNA